rnacentral:rRNA from 1 species
UACAGGGGGUGCAAACGUUGCUCGGAAUUAUUGGGCGUAAAGCGCGCGUAGGCGGCUACUUAAGUCGGAUGUGAAAGCCCUUGGCUCAACUGAGGAAGUGCACCCGAAACUGAGUAGCUGGAGUACGAAAGAGGGUCGCGGAAUUCCCGGUGUAGAGGUGAAAUUCGUAGAUAUCGGGAGGAACACCGGUGGCGAAGGCGGCGACCUGGGUCGAUACUGACGCUGAGGCGCGAAAGCGUGGGGAGCAAACAGG